rnacentral:rRNA from 1 species
AAUAUUGCGCAAUGGAGGAAACUCUGACGCAGCGACGCCGCGUGAGCGAUGAAGGUCUUCGGAUCGUAAAGCUCUGUCCUUGGGGAAGAAGGUCUUCGGACUUGACGGUACCUAAGGAGGAAGCUCCGGCUAACUACGUGCCAGCAGCCGCGGUAAUACGGAGGGGGCAAGGGGGUUCCGGAAUUAUUGGGCGUAAAGGGUGCGUAGGCGGCCUUUUAAGUCAGGGGGGAAAGCCCACGGCUUAACCGUGGGAUUGCAGUUGAAACUGGAAGGCUUGAGUAUCGGAGAGGGUAGUGGAAUUCCCAGUGUAGCGGUGGAAUGCGUAGAUAUUGGGAGGAACACCAGUGGCGAAGGCGACUACCUGGACGAAAACUGACGCUGAGGCACGAAAGCUAGGGGAGCAAAC